rnacentral:rRNA from 1 species
UACGUAGGGUCCGAGCGUUGUCCGGAAUUACUGGGCGUAAAGGGUCUGUAGGUGGUCGACUAAGUCAGACGUGAAAUCCCUCAGCUCAACUGGGGAACUGCGUCUGAUACUGGUGGGCUUGAGUGCAGGAGAGGAAUGCGGAAUUCCAGGUGUAGCGGUGAAAUGCGUAGAUAUCUGGAGGAACACCGGUGGCGAAGGCGGCAUUCUGGACUGCAACUGACACUGAUAGACGAAAGCCAGGGGAGCAAACGGG